rnacentral:rRNA from 1 species
GAUCAUGGCUCAGGAUGAACGCUGGCGGCGUGCUUAACACAUGCAAGUCGAACGAAGAUGCCGGAGUGCUUGCACUUUGGCAGACUGAGUGGCGGACGGGUGAGUAACGCGUGGGUAACCUGCCUUAUACAGGGGGAUAACAGUUGGAAACGACUGCUAAUACCGCAUAAGCGCACGGUAUCGCAUGAUACAGUGUGAAAAACUCCGGUGGUAUAAGAUGGACCCGCGUCUGAUUAGCUUGUUGGUGAGGUAACGGCCCACCAAGGCGACGAUCAGUAGCCGGCCUGAGAGGGUGAACGGCCACAUUGGGACUGAGACACGGCCCAAACUCCUACGGGAGGCAGCAGUGGGGAAUAUUGCACAAUGGGGGAAACCCUGAUGCAGCGACGCCGCGUGAGUGAAGAAGUAUUUCGGUAUGUAAAGCUCUAUCAGCAGGGAAGAAGAAAUGACGGUACCUGACUAAGAAGCCCCGGCUAACUACGUG